UACGUAUGGAGCAAGCGUUAUCCGGAUUACUGGGUGUAAAGGGAGCGCAGGCGGCUUUGCAAGUCUGAUGUGAAAGGCCGGGGCUCAACCCCGGGACUGCAUUGGAAACUGUAAAGCUAGAGUGCCGGAGAGGUAAGCGGAAUUCCUAGUGUAGCGGUGAAAUGCGUAGAUAUUAGGAGGAACACCAGUGGCGAAGGCGGCUUACUGGACGGCAACUGACGCUGAGGCUCGAAAGCGUGGGGAGCAAACAGG
rnacentral:rRNA from 1 species